rnacentral:lncRNA from 1 species
GAUAAAAUAGGUAUUUUAAAAAACUUUCAUAAGCUUCCUCCAACCUUCUCUCCAUUUCUCUCCAAUUUGGGAGGAAAACUUUUACUUACUAUUUAUCCUCUUAAAUCCUUAAAUCCUUCCAUUUCUCUUCUUUUCUUUCCUAAUAAAACUAACAAACGAAGGAAAUGUUCACUUUCUCUUCUUUCCCCUUCUUUUCUCUCAAAAUCAUCCACUCUCUUAACGAACUGGCGUGAUGUAGUGGUGCAUUGGGAUUGUCUGUUUCUGACACUGUUUUGAUCAAUUUGGGAUAAUGUUGGUUUGUGCACUUGGUUGUUGAGUUAAAUCCUUGUUUCUUUCAAGUCGACUUCUAUUUACCUGUUUGUCUUGAGUAUGUUGGAUAGGAUCCUCUUCCUGAAAAUUCUAACAUUCUACUGUUUCUUAUCUAGUCUACAUAAAGGCCUUAGGACAGGAAGUACAUUUUGGCUGCCUUUAUGAGGUAGGGAAGCCUUAUUAGCAUUUUUUUCUCGAUGAGAUUUAAGUUUGCCUUGCCUCAGAAGACAAAAUCCCAGAUCAAGUUUGGAAAGUGGAAAAGUUGGUUCUGUGUUAGUUUAGUGUGGGAAAUUCAAACCUUAUGCAUCUCUAGUACAUAGAAUGAAUCAGAAUAUUGUCAAAUGAAGCUUGAUCUUUCUUUCCUCUGACUUAGAUAAUAUGUUUGGGCUUGCCAAUAAUUAUAAUACUCACUUUUGCUUAGCUAAGCUUUGCUGUUGCUUAUAAUGGUAUUUGUUUUCUUAAUUCUAUGGGUCAUAACCUUCUUCAUCAUGCUCCCUAGUUUACUACUUCAAUUUGGCUGGGACUGGCAUUUGUAUGCAUUAUUCUCUAAGUGAGGAGAUCCACAUGUCAUGUCCUGAAUAUUGCCACUAAACCUUUCUAAUCAUCAAUAUCUGAAGAAUAUUUGCCUUACUGUCGUCAAAGGACGCACAAUUCUUUGACCUUUUCUGCUGGUCGACUUUCCUUCAAAAAAAAAAAAAAAAGUAAAUCGAGAAAACAUAUAAAAGUAGAAUUCUAUUAGUAAAGACUGUUAAAAGUGAAUUAUUAUGGCUCCCUGAGUUUUCUUGUCUUCCACUAUAUUUAACAUUCCUUGAACUUUUCUUUUGGCUGCACUACAGUUUGUUGCCCUGAUAACUAAAAAGAAGAUGACUGAAUACACAUAAUUAUUAAAUUGUCUAAUAAAAGAGGAAAGUGAAGAGCUAGCUGUAAGUAACCAGGCGACCAGAACACAGAAAGUAAAACUAAAAAUUAUGCUCCCUGCAUCCAUGUUGCACUUGGAGAUGAAUACUUUGAAAUAUGAGCUAACAGCAAUUAGUUCUCACUGAGCAUAUCAUUGUGAUUAUGGAGCAUAUUGUAAUACCACCCCUCUGAUAUAUGAUGCUGGGCUCCAUAUUUCAAGGCUUGUGAACUCUGGCAAUCACCACUUCAUUCACUUCACAGAAGCUUACAUUAAUGUGUCAAAAUUGAGAGGUUAAUUAGGAUGAUUCUAACUUUGAGGGGAGAGGAUUUUCUUGUAUGAAUUUGUCACUGAUGCAUAUAUUUAAUGUCGUUAUUGGUUUUACUUGAAUUUUAAGCCAAGUAUUCAGCUGUGCGUUAUGCAGAAAGUAUUCAUUAAUUUAUUCAUGAAAAUUUUAUUAAUUUUUUGUCACAUUAUUCAAGAAACUUUCAUGCUUCUAUCUUUUGAACUCUGUGUUUCUACAAUAAAUGUAGAAUAACAUCUUCUGCUAUCUUGUGGAACAGAGGUAAAUGCUAGAUUGUAAAUAUUCAGUUACUAUAGGAAAAAGUAAUUGAUUGCAAUUGAACCUAAAUCUGCAGAUGAUGAAGAAGAUUAGAGCUCAUCAAUUUGGAGAGCUCACAAGCUGUGGACAGCCGUAUAAUGCACUGUAGACAUUCAUAGCUUGGUCUCUGUCUGUAAUGGUCUUCUUCUUCUCCUUUUAGUUUAGACUUGCAGCAUUAAUGCUUUUGAAAUGCUGUCAUAUUCUGAAUUUUCUUAUGCAAGAGUUUCAUCAUCAAUAAUAUACUGUAAAGUUCCCUGGCUGCAAAUCCAUUGAGUGAGAAGGAACGACUCUUUUGUUAUGAUUGAUUACUUAGGAAUUGAAUUUGUUAGCUACAUGUAAAAUAUGAUCAUUUACUUUCUUUGUUCACUUCAAAAGCUAUGAAUGAAAACUCAUUCAAUUCCAUGUUGACUCUUCGUUUUGUAUUGUACUUUUGAGCUUUAGGUAGGUAGUGAAAUCUGGUUGGAGGUCUAAUUUUAGAUACAGUAGUAGCUAUUUUUGGAUCAUAAAUGGAGCAGCACUGCUGCUGAAAUGGUGCAUAUAAAGUUGGUAAUAAAUGCUGCACCCACUAACCACUGAACGGAGGUGGAGUUGGAUCACACCUGCACCAUAUUCUCAUCCCGAAUUCAUGUGCACAAGGGCACAUUAUAUUCUGCAGUUAUUCAGAGGUUCUCUUAGCUUUUUAUGGAAGUGAGCAAAUAGGUAAUUUGAUUGAUUUGUGAUGCAUAAGGUUCAGUUUUGAUCCUUGGCUUAUCCAUGGUUGUUUGUUACGAGCUUGGUCUACAGAAUACUGCCCUUUACCACGAUCUUGGUUGUGUGGGAAAGGAAAUAGGCAAUACGCGGGAGGAAAAACCUUUUCUAAUUUCUACCCUGUUUCUUGAUAAUGAUGAGAGUGGAAGAGUUUCAUCUUCACAUCCUUCAGAUUGUUUUGUUUGUCUUGCCAUGUUAAUUAAAUGCACAAAAAGUGAAUUGUACAAACGUGAACUAGAAACAAUGGAUUUUGAGUUCAAUCUUGCUGAGUAAUCAAAAGGUCAAUUCUGCAUACGCCAAUUGUUCACAUAAUAAAAUUUCUCUUCUUCAAGAAAAACCAAUCGCUAUUUCAGGAGGCCUACACAUAUGGAUCAGGACUCAUCUUCUCAGAUUGAACCAUCCUGUCGUUAAAUAUAUGCAGCAAUAGAUCACAGGCUUGCCGUGAUGUUGGUCUUUCAAAAGGUGCAGUUUUCGUACAUUGCAGUGCCAUUUCUAGCACUUGGAACGCACCAUUUUCUUCAUGGGGUAAGAGUGGCUUCAAUGCAGGAUCAAUUAUCUCCUCGCGAGCAGAUCCUUGCAUUUCAAUGCGGGAUUCAACCCAUCUUACCAUGUCUAUGUCCUCGCCAAAAUUCCCAUCAGUUGGCAUUCUUCCACUCACUAGCUCCAUGAGCACAAUGCCCAUGCUGUAUACAUCACUCUUCUCUGUUGCUUUCAAAGAAUAAGCAUACUCUGC